rnacentral:piRNA from 1 species
GAAGGGACUUUAAACAUGGACAC